GGAUGCAAUGCAGCCCUGCAGACAAGCGUCUCCGGCAGGACGUGGGCCGCGGGUCUCGGAGCCUCCUUCACUUAGGUGCAAACAAUCGUCGCCGCAGGGGCCGGACCCCAGUCCGAGCUCCGAGAUGCGGAAUCCUCCGGAAUCCGCCCCACUGCACGCCAGCGGUCGGAGGCCUGGGGCGUGCUGCCCACGUUACUGACGGCCGGGAAGGAAAGAUGGCAGCGACUAUGAUGGCUUCAGAGAGAGGGCAACCAACGAGAGGACGCCGCCCGCCAGAGCGUCCACACCGCCGCCUUUUCUGCGGUUGCGUCCUGGGAAGGCGGGAAUUGUGUGGCUACGGGCGGGUCGUCCUCUCCACCAUUUUUUAAUGGAAAAAAUAAUAAUUCUCAAAGACGGUUUGGUCUGACCUGCCUCCCCACCUCUUGGCAUCCGCAGGAUCCCAGGCGUGUAAAAGACGGGAUUGUGGGACUGGGCGCAGUGACUCAUGCCUGUAAUCCCAGCGCUUUGCGGGGCCAAGGCCAGAGUAUCUCUUGAGCCCAGGUGUUCGAGACCAGCCUGGGCAACAUAGCGAGCCCCCAUCUCUAUUUUUUAAAAUGGUGUAUAGAUAUAGAGGAGAUUGUGGGAUUCAGUAUCUGAGAUUUUCUACCUUGGUGUCAACGCCCCUGUCAACCUAUUAGGUGACCUCAGAGUGUUCCCCCAGCCCUCAAUUC
rnacentral:lncRNA from 1 species